CACGGACCGCACGAACGUUAUUCGGUAUCACUGGGCUUAAAGGGUGCGUAGGCGGCUUUGCAAGUUGGGUGUGAAAGCCCUCGGCUCAACCGAGGAAUUGCGCUCAAUACUGCCGAGCUCGAGAGAGACAGAGGUAAGCGGAACUAAUGGUGGAGCGGUGAAAUGCGUAGAUAUCUGGAGGAACACCGGUGGCGAAGGCGGCGUUCUGGACUGCAACUGACACUGAGGAACGAAAGCCAGGGGAGCAAACGGG
rnacentral:rRNA from 1 species